UACGUAGGGUGCGAGCGUUAAUCGGAAUUACUGGGCGUAAAGGGCGCGUAGGCGGCCGCCUAAGUCAGACGUGAAAUCCCUCGGCUCAACCGGGGAACUGCGUCUGAUACUGGGUGGCUUGAAUCCGGGAGAGGGAUGCGGAAUUCCAGGUGUAGCGGUGAAAUGCGUAGAUAUCUGGAGGAACACCGGUGGCGAAGGCGGCAUCCUGGACCGGCAUUGACGCUGAGGCGCGAAAGCCAGGGGAGCAAACGGG
rnacentral:rRNA from 1 species